rnacentral:rRNA from 1 species
GAUGAACGCUGGCGGCGUGCCUAAUACAUGCAAGUAGAACGCUGAAGCUUGGUGCUUGCACCGAGCGGAUGAGUUGCGAACGGGUGAGUAACGCGUAGGUAACCUGCCUCUUAGCGGGGGAUAACUAUUGGAAACGAUAGCUAAUACCGCAUAAAAGACGAUAUCGCAUGAUAUUGAUUUGAAAGGUGCAAUUGCAUCACUAAGAGAUGGACCUGCGUUGUAUUAGCUAGUUGGUGAGGUAACGGCUCACCAAGGCGACGAUACAUAGCCGACCUGAGAGGGUGAUCGGCCACACUGGGACUGAGACACGGCCCAGACUCCUACGGGAGGCAGCAGUAGGGAAUCUUCGGCAAUGGGGGCAACCCUGACCGAGCAACGCCGCGUGAGUGAAGAAGGUUUUCGGAUCGUAAAGCUCUGUUGUAAGAGAAGAACGAGUGUGAGAGUGGAAAGUUCACACUGUGACGGUAUCUUACCAGAAAGGGACGGCUAACUACGUGCCAGCAGCCGCGGUAAUACGUAGGUCCCGAGCGUUAUCCGGAUUUAUUGGGCGUAAAGCGAGCGCAGGCGGUUAGAUAAGUCUGAAGUUAAAGGCUGUGGCUUAACCAUAGUACGCUUUGGAAACUGUUUAACUUGAGUGCAAGAGGGGAGAGUGGAAUUCCAUGUGUAGCGGUGAAAUGCGUAGAUAUAUGGAGGAACACCGGUGGCGAAAGCGGCUCUCUGGCUUGUAACUGACGCUGAGGCUCGAAAGCGUGGGGAGCAAACAGG